rnacentral:rRNA from 1 species
GAUGAACGCUGGCGGCGUGCCUAAUACAUGCAAGUCGAGCGAACGGACGAGAAGCUUGCUUCUCUGAUGUUAGCGGCGGACGGGUGAGUAACACGUGGAUAACCUACCUAUAAGACUGGGAUAACUUCGGGAAACCGGAGCUAAUACCGGAUAAUAUUUUGAACCGCAUGGUUCAAAAGUGAAAGACGGUCUUGCUGUCACUUAUAGAUGGAUCCGCGCUGCAUUAGCUAGUUGGUAAGGUAACGGCUUACCAAGGCAACGAUGCAUAGCCGACCUGAGAGGGUGAUCGGCCACACUGGAACUGAGACACGGUCCAGACUCCUACGGGAGGCAGCAGUAGGGAAUCUUCCGCAAUGGGCGAAAGCCUGACGGAGCAACGCCGCGUGAGUGAUGAAGGUCUUCGGAUCGUAAAACUCUGUUAUCAGGGAAGAACAUAUGUGUAAGUAACUGUGCACAUCUUGACGGUACCUAAUCAGAAAGCCACGGCUAACUACGUGCCAGCAGCCGCGGUAAUACGUAGGUGGCAAGCGUUAUCCGGAAUUAUUGGGCGUAAAGCGCGCGUAGGCGGUUUUUUAAGUCUGAUGUGAAAGCCCACGGCUCAACCGUGGAGGGUCAUUGGAAACUGGAAAACUUGAGUGCAGAAGAGGAAAGUGGAAUUCCAUGUGUAGCGGUGAAAUGCGCAGAGAUAUGGAGGAACACCAGUGGCGAAGGCGACUUUCUGGUCUGUAACUGACGCUGAUGUGCGAAAGCGUGGGGAUCAAACAGGAUUAGAUACCCUGGUAGUCCACGCCGUAAACGAUGAGUGCUAAGUGUUAGGGGGUUUCCGCCCCUUAGUGCUGCAGCUAACGCAUUAAGCACUCCGCCUGGGGAGUACGACCGCAAGGUUGAAACUCAAAGGAAUUGACGGGGACCCGCACAAGCGGUGGAGCAUGUGGUUUAAUUCGAAGCAACGCGAAGAACCUUACCAAAUCUUGACAUCCUUUGACAACUCUAGAGAUAGAGCUUUCCCCUUCGGGGGACAAAGUGACAGGUGGUGCAUGGUUGUCGUCAGCUCGUGUCGUGAGAUGUUGGGUUAAGUCCCGCAACGAGCGCAACCCUUAAGCUUAGUUGCCAUCAUUAAGCUGGGCACUCUAAGUUGACUGCCGGUGACAAACCGGAGGAAGGUGGGGAUGACGUCAAAUCAUCAUGCCCCUUAUGAUUUGGGCUACACACGUGCUACAAUGGACAAUACAAAGGGCAGCGAAACCGCGAGGUCAAGCAAAUCCCAUAAAGUUGUUCUCAGUUCGGAUUGUAGUCUGCAACUCGACUACAUGAAGCUGGAAUCGCUAGUAAUCGUAGAUCAGCAUGCUACGGUGAAUACGUUCCCGGGUCU